AUCCCCAGAUACAAUGGACAAUAUGCUAUUAUAAUCGUAUGGCAUUGUCCUUGCUGUUUGGAGAUAA
rnacentral:pre_miRNA from 1 species